GUACACAAUGUUUAUAAUUCCAGGGAAGUGAAAAGAGCAACUUUCCUCUAUAAUGUAAUUAUGUACUUUCUACAUCUAUGGUAACAAUACCUUAGUUUGAUUAUAGGUAUUUGUUUAGCGAUAGUCAGUUGGCCCUAGGCUAUAGUUCUAGAGGGUUUGGAAAAUCUCCCACAUCAGAGGUGGAAGCAGUGGAAGGAAAACAACAACAAAGGAUCAUGAUAAAGGACUCUGCUGUUACUCAAUGGAGAUACUAAUGCUAUGGAAACCAGCCAUAGGAAAUAAGCCAUUUGGGGAUGGUGUAAAGAGCAGGCUAUAAUGAAACCACUUAUAAUAUGUAAGAUAACAGAAAUCUACAACAUAUUUCUCAAUCAAAAUGAAGACAUUCGGCAUGUACUAGCAGAACCAAUUCAAACUGGAACAAAGAUGGGGCGAGUGGACAUUGCCUUUUCCUCCAAGGGUUGGUUUGACAUCUUAUAAUCACUUUAUAUAACAGCCAUUCUCCCAGUAAAAAGUGAAAAACCAGAGGAAGAGGUCUUGCUUCAUCCAACUCCACUGAUUUUGGCUUUGAGAGAAUACAGCUUUAAGAAGGUAUUCCCGGGAAUAUCCCAGGAACUCUAUCCGCCCCCUCAGAAUAGUAGGCAAUUGAGUUAGUGAUGGUGACUCAGGCAGGCUUUUUCAUCCUGAUCUAAAGGAACCACUACAACCCUAGAGAGAGAAAUAAAAAGGGAAUCGAGUGGAAAAGGCCUCCACCACCGAUGACUCAUGCUCUACUGUGACUCGCCUGGUACAUCACUCUGUGGCUAAGACAUGGAGGCUUGGUUCAUUAGUCACUUCAGUGAUUUUUUCAAAGCAAGGAUUCUCCCUCUAAAUAAUCAUGAGCUCUGCUUCCACAGUGUUUGUAUGUGAGCUUGUGACUCACCUUUCCACCAUGCCAGGCAGUACCAAUUGUGUCAUCUGCAAGAGAGAAAGCAAAACAUUCAUGAUGGCCAAGGAUGCAGGCAACAGAAAAAGAGUGAAGAAAACUCACCCACACUAAAAAGAAGGGAAUCAUGAAACCAUUCACCACUUCUACAGACAGCAGGUUAUUUUCUGUACACUGUAGAAUGUGACUGUGUCAAGAGGGCAUAAAAAGGAACCAGCUGAAAUUACUGGAGAGAACACAGGGAAUACUUUAAUGAACCUGGCUAAAAUUAGUCUUGCCUGAAAUGUAAUACUGGCACAGAGUUCUUCAAACAAUGAAGGAUUUACAGUGAAAAUCUACAUUUCCCAAAAUGCAUUCUCAGAAAAGAAUAUAUGUUAUCAGAAGAAAUAUCCUGCCUACCAAGAUGACUUAAGCUUUCUAACCUCAAGAGCUCACAUAAACUUUUCCAGCCAAAAAAAGUCUUUAAAAGAAUACGAUAAAGUGGUAGGUUGGCAAAGAGUAAGUGUAACUUCACAUUCAUUUCUCUUGUUGGUCUAGUUAGCUGUAAGUAAAACUCAUCCUUAAAGAGAGUUAAGAUGUGAUCUCUAGUAACCAACAUGAAAAGGUGACAUCUGCAUUUUUUAAGGACUCCAUAAUUGUUGACUAAAUACAUAUAAUGAGAGGGGCUAUUUUUAAACUCUGUUUUGAUAUAUUAUUAACCAAGAAAAGUUCAGAAGUCCAAUGGUUUAGUCAAAAUCACCUCACAGUUAAAUACCGAGGCUGUAACGUGAAUUUCUGACUCCUGGAUAUCAUCAAUUCUCUAAGAAACAGAUGCUGUUUUGUAAUAAUAAGGUUUCAAUGCAUGCUAAGCAUAGAAAUUUUGUUGUUUCUAUCUUGAAUAAUACUUCAUAUUAAUUAAAGUAGACAGCAUUCUGAUGAGAAGGGAAUUUUGUUUUCCUAGAAAUAUUCUGAAGAAAUAAAAUGCCAGCCAGAUUUAACAAGGUAAAUUCUGCUAUGUGAACAUCCAAUCCAGAUGUAUUAUGAACAGCUUUGUAUGGUAGUACAGAUGUACAUCAGGCAUAUUAACAGUGGUGGGUAUUUUAUUGUAAAGGAUAGAUUAUACAAAACCCUAACAGUAUUUGAAAACUUUUUUUUUUUUAUUUAGCACAUUUCAUCAGGGACCAUAAUGCUUAGCUAAAGUAUUAUAAAGAGUUCCCCCAGCAUUUUGUGAAGGGAAGCUAUAAUUCAGUUCUCCAAAGUUCUGAGAUCACCAGAAACAGAAUAAGGAAGGAGACUGGUAAUAAAAAUGUCUUUACCCAGGUGUAUGUGUGUCUGUGUGUGUGCGUGCGCAUUUGUAUUAAGGAAAUGAGAUCUGUUAACUAUAAAGCAGCUAAGUGGAGUCCAGAAGGGGUAGCCACUGCCUGUUUGGCUCUCUUAAACAGUCCCUCUUCUAUUUCCAGUUGGAAUAUUGGGGGCAGGGAGAUGGGGGAAUAUCAGGAGCUAUUUUUUCCCUUAUACCAUAUGCAUGUCAUGUAUAUAUUAAAUGUCUGCUUUCUGAAUGGCAAAAAUUAUCUAGAAAAUCAUGAGACAAAACAAAACCCCAUAACAUAAAACCAUACUUACAAAAUUAUAUCAUGGCAUGCUAAACAUUAAAUGUUUCCUUCAUCAAGAGGCCUUUUAUGUAGGGACAUGUUCAAAAUAUAUUCUUUAUAUAUAUGAAUUAAAACUCAAGAAGUUUUAAUAACUUGACAUAAACACUGAUUUCAAUGCCUGGCUAUUAAAGGCCAGAAAUAUUUGCUGAAUGCUCAACGACUAGAGGAUUCAUCAGCAAAGACACAAGUUCUCCCCUGCAAAAGUUAAUUUCUUUCUCAUAGCUCAUGAGCUCCUCCUUUUACAUUCUGACUCUAAAUUCUCUGUCCUUGUCAUAAAAUGUAACAUCUUUUUUUAAUCUGUCAAAUAAUAACAAUGAAAAGCCUGAGAAAACUUAACCUGAAAUCUGCAUGCUUUUAUCAAAUUGAUUAAUGCCUUCAUCUAUAAUGAAAUUAUCUUUCCUUCUAAUCAGAUUAUAAGUCACAAUAAAUUGAAUUUCAAGCCUU